UAAACGCACUGACGUUUCGGCAUCAAUUGAUUUCUCUUCAAAUUUAUUCUCUUUUAUAUAUAAGAAUUAUAUUUAUUGGAUUCAGACAGUUUUCGUGCUUUAUUAUGGGUAGAAAACAUACUAAUAAAGCACACAAACAUUUCACAUAUAACGAUGUAGAAGAUAGUUCACAGUGUGUCAUCUGUAAAUCUUCAUUGAAGGGUAAUUAUGGGACAAACUUAAAAAAACAUUUAAUUCGUUACCAUGAUUUUAAAGAAGAAUAUUUCACUGAUAUUUCUUUGAAUAAAAAAGAAACGGGAAAGCAUCGAAAAGAAAUACAGCCACAAAUAGAUGAAGUAAAUUCUAUAAAAGUAAAAAUGACAAAAAAAGAUCUCGAAAACAAUUGCAUUGAAUUAGUAACAGUUAAUGGAAGACCAUUUAGUAUUUUAAAUGACUCUGGUUUUCAAAAUAUUAUAAAUCCAAUCAAAUCGGCAAUAGAAGAUAAAUAUAAACAGAAAAUUUCUAUUUCGUCAGAAUCAAUACAAAGAAAAGUUAAUG